rnacentral:rRNA from 1 species
GAAAAGAAACUAACAAGGAUUCCCCUAGUAACUGCGAGUGAAGCGGGAAAAGCUCAAAUUUAAAAUCUGGCGGUCUUUGGCCGUCCGAGUUGUAGUCUGGAGAAGUGCUUUCCGCGCUGGACCGUGUAUAAGUCUCUUGGAACAGAGCGUCAUAGAGGGUGAGAAUCCCGUCUUUGACACGGACUACCAGUGCUUUGUGAUGCGCUCUCAAAGAGUCGAGUUGUUUGGGAAUGCAGCUCAAAAUGGGUGGUGAAUUCCAUCUAAAGCUAAAUAUUGGCGAGAGACCGAUAGCGAACAAGUACCGUGAGGGAAAGAUGAAAAGCACUUUGGAAAGAGAGUUAAACAGUACGUGAAAUUGCUGAAAGGGAAACGCUUGAAGUCAGUCGCGUUGUCUGGGACUCAGCCUUGCUUUUGCUUGGUGCACUUUCCGGAUGACGGGCCAGCAUCGAUUUUGACCGUCGGAAAAGGGCUAGGGUAAUGUGGCACCUCCGGGUGUGUUAUAGACUUUAGUCGCAUACGGCGGUCGGGAUCGAGGAACGCAGCGCGCCGUAAGGCAGGGGUUCGCCCACUUUCGCGCUUAGGAUGCUGGCGUAAUGGCUUUAAACGACCCGUCUUGAAACACGGACCAAGGAGUCUAACAUACCUGCGAGUGUUUGGGUGGAAAACCCGAGCGCGUAAUGAAAGUGAAAGUUGAGACCUCUGUCGUGGAGGGCAUCGACGCCCGGACCUGACGUUCUCUGACGGAUCCGCGGUAGAGCAUGUAUGUUGGGACCCGAAAGAUGGUGAACUAUGCCUGAAUAGGGUGAAGCCAGAGGAAACUCUGGUGGAGGCUCGUAGCGAUUCUGACGUGCAAAUCGAUCGUCAAAUUUGGGUAUAGGGGCGAAAGACUAAU